rnacentral:rRNA from 1 species
UUGAGAGUUUGAUCCUGGCUCAGAACGAACGCUGGCGGCAGGCUUAACACAUGCAAGUCGAGCGGAAACGAUGGGAGCUUGCUCCCAGGCGUCGAGCGGCGGACGGGUGAGUAACGCGUAGGAAUCUGCCCAGUAGAGGGGGAUAGCCCGGGGAAACCCGGAUUAAUACCGCAUACGCCCUACGGGGGAAAGGCCGGGAUCUUCGGACCGGUCACUAUUGGAGGAGCCUGCGUGAGAUUAGCUUGUUGGUGGGGUAAUGGCCUACCAAGUCUACGAUC